GGUUGCGAUCAUACCAGCACUAAUGCACCGGAUCCCAUCAGAACUACGCAGUUAAGCGUGCUUGGGCGAGAGUAGUACUAGGAUGGGUGACCCCUUGGGAAGUCCUCGUGUUGCAACCC
rnacentral:rRNA from 2 species